rnacentral:rRNA from 1 species
AUGUUAUUAAUUUUAGGAGGGGUGAAACCAUUGUUUAUCCCUAUUGUGUGGAAACUAGUUGUACCUCCAAAAAUUCACGUCUUCCUUUGGUUGUUUCCUCAUAACAAGUUGUUGACAAGGGAUAACCUUAGGAAAAGGCACAUCAUCAAACCCCUUGAUUAUGUGUCCUGUGCUGAGAAUGAAACCAGCUUCCGUUUGUUGUUUGAAUGUGUGGUAGCUACGAAUAUUUGGCCUUUCAUUGAAGAUUUCUUCCAAAUUCAGAUAGGUGCAAACUUUGAGUCUGUUGCACGCUUCUGGGUUACUAGUAAGAAGAACUCUGCUUUAAAUACCAUUAGUACUGUUGUCUUAUGGUGUUUGUGGAAAUAUAGGAACUCUAUAAUUUUUAACAACACUAUUUGGACUUCUAUGACUCAGGUUUGGAGCUUGUUGAUUAGAAUGCUCAAAGUCCGGUUUGUCCUGUCGCCGGAAGCGGAGAGAGCAAAACUGGAGAGUUUCCUGAGCUCACUAACAAGUUUUUCUCGACAACCUCUGAGAAUCCGGAGUGGCUGA